rnacentral:lncRNA from 1 species
GUGAGUGUUCGUUUCCAUGUUUACAUCAAUCUUCUCACAUAUACUUAGUAUAGGGAGUGUAGUUAGAAAAUCUGUGUGAAAAUAAGAGUGUAUCCAGUAAGGAAUUGAGUGGAUUCUCUAAGGCAUGUUACUACGUCCAUAAUGUUGUUUUAAACGAUUAAAUGUGAGCUAGUGAAUGGUAACUAUGAUUAAGUAUAUGCUCAAGAGUAGGGAUGACUAAAAUCUGUGGGAAUAAUGAUCUUUGGCAUGUUAUGUAUCGUUGGAAAUCCCUGUAGCAAAUGUUGGAAGGU